rnacentral:rRNA from 1 species
CACAUGAUCAACUUACCCUAUAGAGAAAAAUAACCUCNGGAAACUGAGGAUAAUAUUUCAUAAUUGAAUUGGCUUGGAAAGGUUUUUCAAUGAAAAGGAUAAAAAAAAUGGUUUUUAUCUGCUAUAGGAUAGGAUCGUGUUCGAUUAUGGUUGUUGGUGAGGUAAUGGCUCACCAAGCCGAUAAUCUAUAGGGGCCGUGAGAGCGGGAGCCCCNAUAUGGGUACUGAGACAACGACCCAGGCCUUACNAGGCGCAACANGCGCNAAACCUCCGCAAUACACNAAAGUGUGACNGGGUUACCCAAAGUGUUCAAUUUGAACUGNGGUANGUGANUAAUGUCCCCUACUAUAAAGGAAAGGGCAAGGCUGGUGCCAGCCGCCGCGGUAAGACCAACUCUUCAAGUGGUCGGGAUAAUUAUUGGGCUUAAAGUGUCCCUAGCCGGUUUAAUAAGUUCCUGGUAAAAUCGGGUAGCUUAACUAUUUGCAUGCUAGGAAUACUGCUAUACUAAAGGGCGGGAAAAGUCUUANGUACUUCAGGGGUAGGGGUGAAAUCUUAUAAUCCUUGUAGGACCACCAAUGGCGAANGCGUCAAACUGGAACGCGCCUGACGGUGAAGGAC